GGGGAGUUCCCGUCAUGGCGCAGUGGUUAACGAAUCCGACUAGGAACCAUGAGGUUGCGGGUUCGAUCCCUGCCCUUGCUCAGUGGGUUAAGGAUCCAGUGUUGCCGUGAGCUGUGGUGUAGGUUGCAGACGCGGCUUGGAUCCUGCGUUGCUGUGGCUCUGGCAUAGGCCGGUAGCUACGGCUCCGAUUAGACCCCUAGCCUGGGAACCUCCAUAUACCGCGGGAGCGGCCCAAGAAAUGUCAAAAAGACCAAAAAGCAAAACAAAACAAAACAAAACCAAAAAAACGGGGAGUUCCUGCUGUGGCUCAGUGGGUUAAGAACCCGACAUAGCGUCCAUGAGGAGGUGGGUUCAAUUCCUGGCCUCACUCAGUGGGUUAAGGAUCCAGCAUUGUUUCAACGUAGGUCACAGAUGUGGCUUGGAUCCCGAGUUGCUGUGGCUGUGGUGUAGGCCGGCAGCUACAGCUCCAAUUCAACCUCUAGCCUGGGAACCUCCAUAUGCCAAGGGUGCGGCCCUAAAAAGACAAAAAGAAAAAAUUAGUGCAUUCACAGUUCAGUUCCCCAGUUGCACAAACAAGCCGAAUUUCCAGUGCCUGACACCCACUGGUGAUUGGUGGCUACAGAGUGUAAGCCUCUGCUGUCUGGGCCCAGAUGCCCCAUCCAGCUGUGGCCUUUUCUAGUCACCCAGACUUCCCCAGACCCUCUCCAAGGGGGCCUCCCCUCCUCCCUGCAUCCCUGGCUGCAGGAGCCACCCAGGACUCAUAUCCAAGCCUGGCUCCCCAACCCAUGUUACCUGGUCCUCCUAACAUCUGAGCAUAUCAGAAAGUCCACUUAGCACUGACUAAUUCUGCUCUAGUCAAAUUCGGCGGUAUGGGGAGGCAUUUCCAGCUUCAUCUGCCUGGAGGAGGUGGAAUUUCAGAAUUUGCUGGGUCACUGAGGUGGGAAGGAGGAUGAAGAUAAACGCCCUAGCAAGGAUGGUUUUGCAAAUGAGAGGGGAGGGGCUACUGGGUGUGGGACCUGGGGGUUGGGGAAGGGACAUUCUACAUAUGGUUCAUUGUGUCAGAAUGAUUUGGUUAUUAAAUAAGCACCUUAAGGGAUUAUUUUACAUGUCAUACUUUUAAAUUUUUAUAAAUUAAAUUAUUUCCCCCAGGCUGGAUUUUUUCCAAGCUUCAGCGUUCUGGCUGGAAUUGGCUUGAUUUGCAUAAUCCCACCUCUGAGAUUGAGCCCCUCCCCUUAGGGCCCUCCUCCUGGCCUGGUCCAACCCGGAAGCCAAGGCACAGCAGGAGGUGUUCACCUCCCUUCCCGGCCUUCCCAGUGUGGGCAGCCACCCUGCUCUGGCCUCCCGGUCCCUGGGAACAAGGCCGAAGCCUGGCUGCACUGUUGCUGAGAGGAUGGGAUAAUCCUCCCAGAGCUAUUUCAAGGAUUAGUCCUGCUGCCCUAUGCCCGGCUCCCACACACAAGGAUUUCAGAGAUGUGGACAUUGUGCCAGGAAGGGGGGGUGUGCCCCUGAAAUGCAGAUCCACGCAGGGCAGUGGGCACCUGGGUCGGGUCAGGGUCGACACACACACACACCCUCCUCCUCCUGACUUCACACACCAACCUCCUCACAACUAUCAAAGACUAGGUGGGUCCUUUUGUCUGUGGGGAUCUUACCUCAUAAAUAUCAACAAUCAUAUUUUCUGACUGUUGGUACAUAGAUGAACAUUAUUAAUGUACAGUAAAACCUUUUCUGCAAUCUAAAUUUCAUUAAUUUUUUUCUUCUGAUUUUAAUGAAAAUACAUUUGUGGUCCUCUGAAAGUGCUGUCACUGUGCCUCACAGAGAAGUCGGCCCUGCCUGCCCCCUGCUUGUGGGCCCCCCACCCCUUUUCCCAGCCCUGGUCCUUCCAAGGCUGUGGAGGAGGCUGGCUUGGGGGUGGCAGGAGAGCUGUUAGAGCCUGGGAUGGGUCAUUCAGGGCUCAGAGGUAGAGAUAGGCAUGGAAACUCUGUGUCCCCUCGCUCUGAAAAUAGAGAUCUUCGUCCCCUGGGAGAGGACACGGUCAUGGCUUAUGGAGUCCUUCCUGCCCCUCCCCCUCUGGCCCUGAUUACAGGUACUUCUGAGCCAGUUGGCCUCAGAAAUGUGGCUUCUACAGAGCCUGUGAGCCGCGGUCCCAGGGUUUCCGGUCCAGACUCCCCACUAUGACACAUGAGAUCCUCUUAGGAGGUGAUAUGAUAGAGUGGCUAAGAGUGCGUAUGGACAGGUGGACCUGUCUAACCUAGGACAAGUUCUUAAGCCUCUCAAAGCCCCAUUUUCCUCCAAAUGGACAUGGGAAUGAUGGGAUCACUUUCCUGAAUGUAUUAAAUGUUGUGACUGUACAUGUACGUUGCCCCCAGUGAAAUGCUAUGUAAUUGUUAGGAAAUAGGGUUGUUAGACAAGACAGUAAGCACAGAAGGACUCCCACCUCUUCUGCACAGGUCAGGCACCCUAUCAUAACUGAGAUUAUAAAUGUAAAGUACCAAGUACAUUGCCCAGGACAGAGCAGGAGCCCCCUAAAUGGCACCUGGGAUUGUGGCCGGGUUCCUCCUUCUUUAAUCUCACCCCCAACCCUGUCUGCCUUGAACUUCACCAAUGCCAAAUUGCCCAUGGUUUGGGGGCACUUUCCACACCUACUGCACGUUUUCGCGCCUCCUGAUCACUGUAGCAGAAACUGGCUCGUCUGUAGACAGACUGUAUUUCCCAGCCUCCCAUGCAGUUCAAUGUGGCAUUUGAACAAAGUCUGGCCAGUGGCCGAUAAACUGCUGCCAGGCAUGUUCCAUCAAACUUCCCACAUGCUCUCCAUGUUCUUUCCCUUCCCAACCUCAGAAGCUGCACGGUGAAGACAGCAGAGCCAUUGGUGGGAAGAAACCAGGUCCUGAAUUAAAGCAUGAAAGAGAGCCGUCCAUUAAUUUGGAUGCCCCAUGAGUAAGAAGUGAGAGAACUGUUCCCAGUUUGCUGCAGCAGCUAGCCUUAUCUUAGUUAGCAAUCCUGCUGUCUAACGUUCCUGGAAUACCUGGAACCCCACCCUCCUUCCUGAGGUAAAUCCUGCUUAUCCUUUAAGCGUCAUCUCUGGCAUCGCAUCCCUUCUCUGAGCAACCUUGAACGAAGCUUAGGUGUCUCUAGCAGACACUGCGCACGUAACUACUCUCUUUCCAUCCUUUUCUUCCUAAUUGAAGCCCUGUUUUGUUCAGGGAAGUAGUAGCCUCAGCUAAAAAUACCCUUGAGCCAAGCUUCCCUUGCAGCUAACUGCAGUCAUGGGGUCCAGCCCUGGCCAAUAAGAUGUCAGAGGAAGAUGCUGGAUGGAGAUUCUUAGGGAAUCUUUCUUUAAAAGGAAUAGGCCAGGAGUUCCUGACGUGGCGCAGCAGAAAUGAAUCCAACUAAGAACCAUGAGGUGUCAGGUUCGAUCCCUGGCCUUUCUCAGUGGGUUAAGGAUCUGGCAUUGCUGUGGCUGUGGCCUAGGCAGGCAGCUACAGCUCCGAUUGGACCCCCAGGCUGGGAACCUCCGUAUGCCAUGAGUGUGACCCUAAAAAGACAAAAGACUAAAUAAAUAAAUAAAUGGAAUAGGCCAGAGCCUCCUUGCCUGCCCGCUUGCAUCUCUCACAGCGUCCUAUCAUAAUAAAUCUAUUUCUUGCCUAUCACUUUGUCUCCCGCUGAAUUCCUUCAGCUCAGAGGCAUGAAGACCUGAACCUCACAAUCUUCAUUCCAGAAAAAAGGUCAGGGGACAAUACCCUGAAGACACCAGAAACCAUUACCAGACCCUCUGACACCGGCCUUGACAACUCAGAUGAUCUACGGAUGAAGAAUAAUACAGACACCUCAAUCUAUAACCCCAUGUUCAGAGCUAAACCCAUAAAACCCCUUGCUGUCCCCUCUCGAGUCAGGACAUAGUUUUGAGGCACUAGACUAUGGUGUCCUCCUUUGCCUGGCAAAGCAAUAAAACUGUUCUUUUUCUUCU
ensembl:lncRNA